AUGAAGGUGAUUUGGCGUUGAGAUUUGAUUAUGGGGCCGAGAAUAUAUCGUGGGAGAUUGUAAAUGAAGGGCCUUCGACAAAGCACAAGAUUGAAAUUGAUUGGUCCAACAUCAUUGGGAUUCAAGCUUCUACUGAAGAUCACAGACAAGGAACCCUCCAACUUGAGCUAUUAUAUCCGCCAAAAUUCUACAAAGAAGUCAAUGUUAAUCUAGAGACACACGGUACUAGUAAAUGGAUUGAGGGAUCAGAUUUUACUGAAGAUCACCAAGCUUCUAAAUGCAGGAGGCAUUUGGCUGCGUUUCCACCUGGAGUGUUGAACGAGCAGUUGGAGAAACUAAUAAAGUAUGAUGAGCGAUUGUAUGAACUGUGCCAUCGUCGAUUUCCAACGUUUGAA